UACUUAGGGCGCAAGCGUUGUCCGGAAUUAUUGGGCGUAAAUAUCUCGUAGGCGGUCUGUCGCGUCCGUCGUGAAAUCCCUCAGCUUAACUGGGGAACUGCGUGUGAUACUGGAUGGCUUGGAUUUGGGAGAGGGAUGCGGAAUUCCAGGUGUAGCGGUGAAAUGCGUAGAUAUCUGGAGGAACACCGGUGGCGAAGGCGGCAUCCUGGACCAAUAUUGACGCUGAGGAGCGAAAGCCAGGGGAGCAAACGGG
rnacentral:rRNA from 1 species